GCAGGGGGGCUUAGCUGAGCCGGCUCUGACCUCCCCACCUGGCCCAGGCAGUGGGCUGAGGGCCACCUCUUCCCCUGCGAUCCCCGUUGGGCCGUACCUCAUGAGGCAGAGGCGGCAGAGCCCGAGGAGAGUCGGGGACUUCCCUUGUUGGCAGGCAGCACGGUGGCCUCUGCCGGGCAGGGCCGCAGCUGCCCCCGAGGACAGAAAGCAGUGCCAGGGUAGCGGGAGCUCCCGCCUGACUCCGGCUCUUCUGCCCGGCCGCUCCGGUCCAGCAGUGCCCGCGGGUUUGGGGAAGAUGGAGGAGACAGGUUGUACCCACCUUUUCUCUAACCCAGCUUCCAGUUUCAGGUACAGUCUGUGUUAAGGAGGAACUCCCUGCCACCCAAAACCAGGAUGAGUUACUCUUCCCAGCUCUUGGAUCGGUGCAAGCCCCACCCGUUUGCACAAGCAGCAUUCACAAGCAGCAGAUGCUGAAAUGGUGUUUAAAGUGGACUGCAUGCUCCUGUAAUUUCUCUCCUGAAACAAAAAAAAAAAAAAAAAAUUGGAAACUAAUUAACCAAGGGAAAGAGAGAAAAACUGACUGCUAAAUACAAUGGAAUGAAAUUUGGGAAGAAAUGUGUAGACUGUGAUGGAAAGGAAAAAGAUACUAGGGUUGGAAAUGCAAAUGUCACUGAAUCUGGGAUUGGUAUUGUGUUAGGGCUGAACUGGUAAGUAAAAUGGAGCUGAUAUCUGAAAUAGUGACAGCAUAGUUUCACAGAUAAGCUCCUGGGUAUUUAGUUGGAGAGAAGCAGCAGAUGUUAGCUGUACAACUGGUUAGGGAUUUCCCGAUAAGCUACUUAUGUCCAUGAGAAAAUGAUAGCAAUUCAAGAUCUAAACGGUUGUUGUGAAUACAGUAAAUCUCCCAUAUUUUUUGUCUGUUGUUUUGGUUCUGUUGUUUUUCUAAAAAAGAAUGUUUCCAAUUGUUGAAAAUGCUUCAUCAUUUCUAAGUGGAAAGGAGUCUUCUCUUCCAUGACUUUCUACUAAAUGUUGUAGAUAAUGGAAACACAUUUGAAAACAGUGGGGAACAUUUAAAAACGCUUGGAAAUGGAAGUUAAACUCUGCCCAGUGAUAGACUUCCAUAGUCAGCAGUUUUGUCAGCCUGAACCAAACUGAUCAUGGACAUAAAAGGGACAGAUUAUUUUUCCCAAGUGAAGUCAAAUGAUGAAAGAUAUGGAAGAUGGCUGAGGUUAAUACUGCUACUUAGUUCUAAUGAAAAAUCAUAUCCUUUCAUCAUCAUUGAACAUCUUUAUUAUCCAAAAAUAAAACAGUGCUUUUCA